UUUCCCUCCUCUCCCGUGCUGCCGCCGCCCCCAUCUCCCGACCUCUUCUUCGGGCGCGGCCGCAGGAGCAUCUCCACCUCUCCACUCCCUCACGCAACAGCACUCCAAACCCCCACCCCCACGCCCGGCUGCCGCUAGGGUUUCUUACCCUCGCUGCCCCGCCGCGACUCGUGUUGCGGGCAGUGAGGAUGGGAGCGGGUCGGUCGUGUCGCUUAGUGGGUGGAUGGUUGGGGAACGGCGGAUCCAGGCCCUGGCGUGGUCCUCUCCCUUCAACUCGCGCCGCCGACCUGGGCUCCCUCUUCUUCCACGGCCACAGCCUGGGGUUGCUGCCGGCUAGACGAAUAAUUAUGUGCAGGCUGCCACGACAAAGGGUUUGACUCCUACACCAAUCUCAUCAAGGCUGCUGUUCUUGACACUCCUGAUGUUGUUUUUCAGAGCAAUGCCACGCUAAGUUGCUCGUUCAAAGGGUGACAACCUGCUAUGGGGUGGUUCUCUUAUUGAACAUGUUUUAUAUUUCUGCAGAAUUAUGUGAUGGAGCCUUGAUAUGUACCAUGACUUAAGUUCUGGACGUGCAUCGAGUAAAUGCAGCAGCCUUGAUGUUUGAAGUUACAGGGGCAUGGACUCUAAUUUGCAACCACAAAGUUUAUACCGUUGUUGUGUGGGUCAGUCUGGGAAAUUUGCACAUCCAACUAUUUGAUCUGGGAAAUGCAACGCCUCGCCACAGAAGGGGGCUAGCCCGUCCAUGCUCACCGGUCUGGUUGUCUGGGGGCGAGGAGGGGGCGCAGCCGCGCCCGGAGGAGGUCAUCUCGGCGCCCGCAUCCUCGUCGUCUACAUUGCCCACACAGCAGGUCGUCGCUGCUGAUUAGAUCCUCUUGAAAAUAGUUAAUUUAAACUCAAGUAAAAAAAUCCCAUGUUGUUUGCUGGCCUCUUUUGAAGUUUAUUCUAACUUGCUAUUGAUUAGAUCCUCUUGCAGUUAUGUUGUGUUGUUCCAUAAAUUGCAGGCUUGAUGUAUAUAUCUAUGACUGUUUUCCCAAGAAUAACAUGCAGACGACGGCCAACGCAUUCAUGGUGGAGGGAAAGAUUGGUGUUGAUCCUGUUUAUAUGCAAAUCCUUAGAUGGAUGGAAUUCCUUUGCAUCUAAGUAAGUGGUAUGAAAGGGACGCGGAGUUCGUGAACUCGAGCACACAGGAGCUCGAUAUCUGUCCGUUCACUACUGUGUCGUGAUUCGCUGCAUUCAAUGCCCGGGACAGACCUGUGGUCGACCAGGAAUUCGGAAAGUCAGAUAUACGUACAUGUGCAGACCUGAAAGGUGGGCCAUGGCUCUGACGGACGUUAGGACGCCGUCCACUGAUCGGCGGAGAGCCGUGGCCCAGGACGUCGGCGCCGUCCGGGUCUGUGGUUCAGAACGGUCUCAGAUAUGUGCGGCGGAGUGUCUGCACAGGCACACCAGGUGGAGAUCGACCACAAUCAUCUGAGCAACCCAUAGAGCAGCAGAUUGACCCCCAGAGUACCGGGGUGGACGUUUAGAGUCAGGAUUGGGGCUGAAGCAGGCCGAGCGCCAUGCCAAAAUAGGAUUUCAGCAAUGGAGAAAUCAAUCCGGGGGUUUGCCGAACAUCGUGGUGACAAUGUCAUUGUGCCAAAAUUAGGGACUAGCUUCCACACACUAGGUGAAGCUUACGAUUUUUACAAUCUGUAGUCAUGGGAGAAAGGUUUUGGCAUCUCAAAUUUCUUCCUUUGCAAACAGACGCUCGAUGCAAUAAGUGAGUCGUUGAUCGACCUCCCAAUGAUGGAAGUACCACUGUGUUUGGUGAGAGGUGGGAUGAACUGCCUGGAAGAAAAUUAUGUUACCCUUGCAAAUUAUGGACAAGGGGUGUCAUCCGGUACCCUCUCAGCCUUCAGUCUCUGAACUUAUAUUACAGUUUUUCACUUCGGCAUCCACACAAGAGCUAUCUAGGAACUUGUGCACGAGAAUCCUAUGUUUGUAAGGAUAACAGGGGUGGUGCUGAAGGAACAGCUUGGGGGUGACACGAUGAUUGACCAUGAGCUGAUGUCUGUCAUUAUCCAUAGGUGUUGCCAGGCUAACCAGGAAGCCGAUGAAGAAUCGCCCUACCUAACAUGGAGGCACCAACUUCAACACGAUUUCUCGACAUUGGUGCUCACUACGGGGACAAGCUGAAGCUCCCCAUUACAAAGCACAACAUAUGAAAAUCAAUAUGCGAAGCCCUGCACGAAUGCAUGAAGCUACAGGGCAAUUUCUGCCCCCUCACCCGUGAGGCUUCGGCAUGUUCUUGCCCCAUCAGACUCCGCAUUUGACACCAGCUGAAACGCCGCCAUACUAAAUUACCCAGGAUGUCCCACUAGGUGAAUUAUAUCCUUAGCAUCUCAUGAUGGGGUAUGUCCCACUAGAUGAUUUAUAUCCUUAGCAUCUCAUAAACAUAAGUGUUCCCAACGCAAGCUUAUGUACCCCUAAUGCUACAUUUGAAUUAUGUGCCGAGCAUUUGUACUAUCAAAGACCAUGGUUUCAAACCAUAUCCUUUGUUGUUAAGCAAUCUGCUGCCCCUGAUAUACUCUCUCCUUACGUCGUGCCAUGCACAUGUUUUGGUAUCUUACUUAAGCUCGGUGGUCAACACUUUU